rnacentral:rRNA from 1 species
GACAGAGGUGCCGUGCGUUAGGCGGAAUCACUGGGCUUAAAGCGUGUGUAGGCGGAUCGUUAAGUACCUUGUGAAAUCCCACGGCUUAACCGUGGAACUGCUGGGUAUACUGGCGAUCUUGAGCCACCUAGGGGCAACCGGAACAAAUGGUGGAGCGGUGAAAUGCGUAGAUAUCAUUUGGAACGCCAAUGGUGAAAACAGGUUGCUGGGGGUGUGCUGACGCUGAGACACGAAAGCCAGGGGAGCGAACGGG